GAGUUUGAUCCUGGCUCAGAUUGAACGCUGGCGGCAGGCCUAACACAUGCAAGUCGGGCGGUAGAGAGAAGCUUGCUUCUCUUGAGAGCGGCGGACGGGUGAGUAAUGCCUAGGAAUCUGCCUGGUAGUGGGGGAUAACGCUCGGAAACGGACGCUAAUACCGCAUACGUCCUACGGGAGAAAGCAGGGGACCUUCGGGCCUUGCGCUAUCAGAUGAGCCUAGGUCGGAUUAGCUAGUUGGUGAGGUAAUGGCUCACCAAGGCGACGAUCCGUAACUGGUCUGAGAGGAUGAUCAGUCACACUGGAACUGAGACACGGUCCAGACUCCUACGGGAGGCAGCAGUGGGGAAUAUUGGACAAUGGGCGAAAGCCUGAUCCAGCCAUGCCGCGUGUGUGAAGAAGGUCUUCGGAUUGUAAAGCACUUUAAGUUGGAGAGGGCAGUAAUUAAUACUUUGCUGUUUUGACGUUUACCGACUAGAAUAAGCACCGGCUAACUCUGUG
rnacentral:rRNA from 1 species